AAGCUAUUAUAAGCAUAAGGUGCAACUAUGCAUCUUCAGGAAUUGGAAAGAAUAACAAAAUUACCAGGACUCAUCAUUACAUCUUCUGCCAACUCAACUGAGUUUUGCAUCUCUUUCUGCUUCAAGUUCACAUUUUGCAAAAUCUUUUCAGGUGAAGUCCCGAGCCUUGUGCUUAUCAACAAUGUCUGGAUUGGAAGUAUCAUGCUCAGCAAAUAAUUUAUUUCUACUCUUUCACCACUUCUGCUGCAUCAUCAUUUGCAACAUUUUCGCAAUUAGAAGGCUGAUCUUGUGUUUCUUCAUCAAGACCCUCCAAGUUUGAAGUAGCUUCAUCAACAGAGGAAGAGUCAUCCUCAUCAGAAGCCCUCCCAGCUGCAGCCAAUGAUCCUGACUGCUG
rnacentral:misc_RNA from 1 species